rnacentral:rRNA from 1 species
UACGUAGGUGACAAGCGUUAUCCGGAAUUACUGGGCGUAAAGCGCACGCAGGCGGCCGAGUAAGUCUGACGUGAAAUCUCCCGGCUUAACCGGGAGCGGUCGUUGGAAACUACUUGGCUUGAGGCGAUGAGAGGGGUGUGGAAUUCCCGGUGUAGUGGUGGAAUGCGUAGAUAUCGAGAGGAACACCUGCGGCGAAGGCGGGUUGCUGGGCCGACACUGACGCUGAUGCGCGAAAGCCAGGGGAGCGAACGGG